UACGGAGGGUGCGAGCGUUGUCCGGAAUCAUUGGGCGUAAAGGGCGCGUAGGUGGCGGGACAAGCGUGCGGUGAAAGCUCGACGCUCAACGUCGAGUCGGCCGUCGAGACUGCUUUGCUCGAGCACUGUAGAGGCAGAUGGAAUUCCGGGUGUAGGCGGUGGAAUGGCGUAGAGGAUCCGGAAGAACACCGGUGGCGAAGG
rnacentral:rRNA from 1 species